AUUUUUGGAUAAUCGCGUGGUUAUUGGUGACCAUGAGGAAAGUCCAUGCUAGCACUGGCUGUGAUGCCGGUAGUGUUUGUGUUAGGCGAAAAAAUAAGCCUAAGGAUGUGGUUAACACAUUACGGCGGAUAAAAUCACUAAGUCUUAUGAUAUGUGAGAGUCAUCCUGAAAGUGCCACAGUGACGUAGUUUUUAUGGAAACAUAAAAAGUGGAACGCGGUAAACCCCUCAAGCUAGCAACCCAAACUUUGGUAGGGGCACGGAAAAGCUGGAAGAAGAACAGUCUUUUCUGACUGCAAAGCAGUAGACAGAUGAUUAUCAAAGAAGAUAAUACCUAGUUAUCUUUGGAACAAAACAUGGCUUAUAGAA
rnacentral:RNase_P_RNA from 12 species